GCAGCGCAUAGCUCUGCAGAGAGAGCUCCGAGCUGCUCGGUUUCCACACGGCGGCCCUCUUUCUCUAACCUUUAAAGAACCACUUUCAAUAAUAAUCUCAAAUUUGAGAUUGAGGUGGAUUAUAAAAAGGGGAAUAUCUCCAGGAAACAACCGGGAUCUGACCGGCUGCCUUUGCUCACACUAUAAAAAGGAGGAGUUUUUGGUGCUGGAUGGAGACCUCUGACUCCGCUGACCUCAACAGUUCCAGGAACUGCUGCUGCUGCUGCUGCUGCUGCUGCAUCCUUGAUGGUUGUGCAGGAAGCUCUACUUCUGCUUCUGGGUCUGACUCAGGGUCAAAGAUGUGCCGCCGUACAGCCCUGCAUCUGUUUGCAGCCAUGUGUACAAAGCGAUAGUGUAAACACUGAGCCGGAGGUCGGUGAGGCCAGCAGCAACUUAUUUGCAUAAACCUGUCAGCUCAUUCUGAAAGGAGCUCAAAAGAAGCAGAACUGAGCAGGUGAAAUCUCAAUAUCUGAGAAUGAUUUUGAGUAAAAAAAUAAAACAUGUUUUGCAUAGCCCAUAGACCUAUCCUAACUUGUUCAAAACAAGGCAUAUUAGGUGCCCUUUAAAAUAAAAUGCAUGAAUUAUUACAGUCGUUCUGCAAGGCAUUUACAAGAAUAUGGACUCGGAAUGUGGGCUGACAAAAUCCCACAGUAGAACCGCAUUAGGUGUUCUUCUGUUUCAACCUUUGUCUGAUGUGUCACUGGACUAAAACUGAAAACAAGGAGUUACUCACAGGUACCUGUGGUCCCCAUCCCCCACAUAUACCGAGUCGCCAGUGUAUUUGCAAAAUGCCAGAAUAAUGAGUACAUUUCUUUCUGAAUUUUUCAAUACAGUUUCUUAUUUUCUUUGUAUUUAGUAGAAUACCCUGUACGCUGAGGGUCGUUGUCUAUUUAGAAGACUCACUUGUUUCCAAGCUUUAACAGCCUGAUGUCCUGAAAUGUUACUUCUGUAUUUUCACAUAAUCUUCUUUCCAUGCGUGCUGGGUAGUGCACCCGUUCCUCCUACAGCAAAUCAGCCACACAACAUGCUGCUGCCACUGCUGUACAUCACAGUCGGGCUGGUGUGGCCUGCUCAGAAAACCUUCUUUUUUCUUUUUUUUUUUUUUUCCCCCUUCAAAUUGUGUGAUGAUUGUUGUGAGCAAAUCCCUUAAAUGUAGUUUCUCCACACCACUCACUCCAAAUAAUAUAUUCAUUUUGUUUGUGUGUCUAUAUUGGUGAGGUGAAAUCUGACUGUUUUUUUAAUGUUGAUUUAUAAAUAAAGGUUUCUUCCCUGCUGAGUGGCCUAUCAGCUCAUGUUGUUGUUGCCUUAAUAGAUGUUUCUACGUUUAACUGAAAUCUUUUAGUUAGAUAUUGCCAUGUUGUUUGGACAAAAUAAUGUUUGUGAAUCUAGAAUUCAGAUCUUUGUAAAAAGCAAUGAGAAAAUCCUCCACGUCUCUUUAUACACUUUUUUUCAUAGACACAAACUUUUGCCUAUGAAAAAUAUGUUUCUUUUUGUCUCCCUGCCCCCAACCACUCUGUAUUUCCUCCCUACGUGUGAACACUGCAUGACAAUAACUCUUUGUUUCGUGGUCCUGUAGGUGAUAUAAUUCAGAUCUCUCGAAGUAAUGGAAGUAAGCAAGUUGGCUGAAUUCUUUGUUAUUUCCUUACACCUUUUAAAAAGUGCUUGUUUGCUUUUACAACUGGCUCCGUGGGCAGCAGGGGAGGGGCGGUGCAGAUGGAUUUGGGCUUCGUUAUUUUUUCUCUGCCUUUGUAACAGCUCAUUUAAAAUCACAAGGGCCUGAAGUUCAAGACAGAUGGGGCCUACUUAAGAAAGAGUCAGUGUCUAAUUCAAGUAAAAUACUUCCUAAUGUGAGGUAACUCGACACCUUUGUGAAAACGCUUUGGGCACUCUGAUCGAAAAGUUUUCCAGAUCAGUUGACCAGUUUUGGAUAUCUGUUGCACUUAACGUAAAAUCCCGAACAACUGCACACGAUCAGGAGCAGACCUCUAAUCCUUUGUGCAGCAUCAGCAAAUAUUUCCAGAUUGGAGUAUGCAUAAGUAACAUUGGAUAUUGACUGAACUACGCCGGCUUCACAAACUGAGCUCACUGUGAAAUUGCUUAAGCUUGGUUUAAAAGUAUUCAUGCAAAAGUCAUAUAUCACGAGCUCGCAGCUCACCUUAUCUGCUCCGCCGCUACACUUUCACAUGAAGCCGUGCCCGUUCACAUCAAAAGAAAUGUUUUAAAGUCCCUUAAGCUCCCUUUGAAGGGUCACAUUUAGAUCCUCCUGAAAAUAAACAGCUGGGUCGUGGAAGGUAUUGUGGGAACAGCAAGUUGAUACGAUGAUUCAAACAGUCCGUCAGAGUUGUUUAUUCAAAUUUAUCCAGAAUGCCACUUUGAAUUUAUUUAUUUAUUUUUUUUUUUUCAUUAAAGGAUAACUUGUUUGGAGGUUGCUUGCUUUGUUCCUUCAUGUAGCAUCAUCAUUAG